rnacentral:rRNA from 1 species
UACAGAGGUGGCAAGCGUUGUUCGGAAUUACUGGGCGUAAAGGGCGCGUAGGCGGCCUUCUAAGUCAGACGUGAAAUCCCCCGGGCUUAACCUGGGAACUGCAUUUGUGACUGCAUCGCUGGAGUGCGGCAGAGGGGGUGGAAUUCCGCGUGUAGCAGUGAAAUGCGUAGAUAUGCGGAGGAACACCGAUGGCGAAGGCAAUCCCCUGGGCCUGCACUGACGCUCAUGCACGAAAGCGUGGGGAGCAAACAGG